CAAGAAAGCAGAGUCAUUAAUAGAGUAGAAAGUAUAAUAUAAAGAUAUGCAAUGUUUAAGAAUCAUAUAUAUCAAGCCAUUGGGAGGUAAAAUUAAUCAGACUCACCUUCUGGAGUUCCGGGAAGAGGUGAUUUUGCUGAUUUAGGGCCUCCAACUGAGGUGUGAAUUCUUUAGCUAUUUCAUUUGUUAAAACUGUUUUACUUCUUCUGUUACUGAUGAUAUUGUAAGAUUGUGCUUUAUUUCAGAGUUUACGAAAUUCCCAGGUAGCAAUUCUACAUUAGCUCUUUCAAACUUGUGACCAAAAUGCUGUUUAAAUAAGAUUCUUAUCGAAUGUAGCUCAGGCAAUUCUCCACAUCUGGACGAAGCAAAUAUCAAAGUUGACAGUGCUUCAUGAACCUCGACCGACAGCUUCCUGCCCCGGCCAAUGUCAUGAAGGUUAGUGCAAAUGCAUUCACAAGAACUCUCGAGUUGAUUGUAUGCAUAUAACCUGCAGUAGUCUCUGUAGAGUUGUUCAACCUAGAUAUAGAACAUUAUAUACAGUAUUAGCAAAUGAUUUUCCAGCGACAGAUUUAAACUAUUUCCUUAAAGUUGAUAUCCCUGCAAAAUUAUAGUUUGAUCUUUGAUGAAAAAGAAGCUGUGAUGAGAUAUUUGAAUGUGUAAUCUUACUGACGUAACUUGUGAAAGGAAAAGUAAAAUUUACCCGUGUUGAAACAGCAUUAUGCCAGCCAUUCUGCAUAAGUUGAGCGAUAUCAGCCCGCGAUUGCCUUAUGAUGGCAUUUUUUCUGCUUUUCUGGAGCGUUAGACGACUCCUGAGCUGCUUAAUCAGUCUUUUGCUGCAGAAUUAUAGUACUUUAACUUUGAUGUUCAAAAUUAUAGAGGAGGGGAAGGAGAAAAGGUAAAAGUGAACUUUCAUUCAAGUUUAAGACUGAAAAAGUGUUCAGAUACUAUGAAAAACAACAUUCUUCUUUAACAUUCUUCACUACUUCCUAAGCAUUUCUCCUCUUUGAUCUUUGUUAAUAUUAAAGAGG
rnacentral:lncRNA from 1 species